rnacentral:tRNA from 1 species
GCUCCUUUAGUGUAGCGGCCAAUCAUGAGGCCCUCUCGAGGCCUCGACCCGGGUUCGAAUCCCGGAGGGAGCACCA